rnacentral:rRNA from 1 species
GAUGAACGCUGGCGGCGUGCCUAAUACAUGCAAGUCGAGCGAACAGACGAGGAGCUUGCUCCUCUGACGUUAGCGGCGGACGGGUGAGUAACACGUGGAUAACCUACCUAUAAGACUGGGAUAACUUCGGGAAACCGGAGCUAAUACCGGAUAAUAUAUUGAACCGCAUGGUUCAAUAGUUCAAGGCGGUUUUGGUGUCACUUAGAGCUGGAUCCGCGCCGCAUUAGAUAGUUGGUAAGGUAACGGCUUACCAAGGCAACGAUGCGUAGCCGACCUGAGAGGGUGAUCGGCCACACUGGAACUGAGACACGGUCCAGACUCCUACGGGAGGCAGCAGUAGGGAAUCUUCGACAAUGGGCGCAAGCCUGACCCAGCCACACCGCGUGAGUGAAGAAGGCCUUCGGGUCGUAAAGCUCUGUUGUUGGGGAAGAAAAACAGCAUGAGAAUCCCUCGCUGUUCUGACGGUACCCAAAGAAAAAGCACCGGCUAACUUCGUG